rfam:Myotis lucifugus cont2.40922, whole genome shotgun sequence.
GCCUGUUUGGCUCAGUGGAUAGAGCGUCAGUCUGUGGACUGAAGGGUCCUGGGUUUGAUUCCCGCCAAAGGCA